ACUUUCUCUCUCUUCACCAUAUUUCGCCACUUGUAGCUAAUUUAACGGUCGCCAUUUUGUAUAAAUAGGGACCACCACUUCACCAUCUCCUCAUCAAUUCUACUUCAUUCUAUCAUCCACCAAAGGGUUUUAGAGAGAGAGGGAGUGAUCUAAAGAGAAAAGAAGAGGAAAAGAAGAAGAAAAGGCAUAGGAAACACCAAC
rnacentral:lncRNA from 1 species